CCUUCAGAAUGGGGACAACAGUUGGAAACGACUGCUAAUACCCAAUGUGCCGAAAGGUGAAAGAUUUAUCGUCUGAAGACGGGCUCGCGUCUGAUUAGCUAGAUGGUGGGGUAAGAGCCUACCAUGGCAACGAUCAGUAGCUGGUCUGAGAGGAUGAGCAGCCACACUGGGACUGAGACACGGCCCAGACUCCUACGGGAGGCAGCAGUGGGGAAUUUUCCGCAAUGGGCGAAAGCCUGACGGAGCAAUACCGCGUGAGGGAGGAAGGUCCUUGGAUUGUAAACCUCUUUUAUCAGGGAAGAAGUGCUGACUGUACCUGAUGAAUAAGCAUCGGCUAACUCCGUGCCAGCAGCCGCGGUAAUACGGAGGAUGCAAGCGUUAUCCGGAAUUAUUGGGCGUAAAGCGUCCGUAGGUGGUUAUGCAAGUCUGCCGUUAAAGAAUGGAGCUUAACUCCAUAGGAGCGGUGGAAACUGCAAGACUAGAGUACAGUAGGGGUAGCAGGAACUCCCAGUGUAGCGGUGAAAUGCGUAGAUAUUGGGAAGAACAUCGGUGGCGAAAGCGUGCUACUGGGCUGACACUGACACUGAGGGACGAAAGCUAGGGUAGCGAAAGGGAUUAGAUACCCCUGUAGUCCUAGCCGUACACGAUGGAUACUAGGCGUGGCUUGUAUCGACGCGAGCCGUGCCGAAGCUAACGCGUUAAGUAUCCCGCCUGGGGAGUACGCACGCAAGUGUGAAACUCAAAGGAAUUGACGGGGGCCCGCACAAGCGGUGGAGUAUGUGGUUUAAUUCGAUGCAACGCGAAGAACC
rnacentral:rRNA from 1 species